rnacentral:lncRNA from 1 species
UUCACGUUAAAAACCGUGACAACUUUGUAUUUAUGCCUCCAAACUUCACUCUUAUUCCACUAUUGUACAAGACAUACAUAUGACUCCAGCACCUCCACACCGACUCCAACCAGCACCUGCACCUACAUCUUUUCCGUUUCCAACUGCAAGCACACCAAAUCCUUAUGUAAACAACUGUUCACAUCAAAACCAACCUACAACCUUACGAUUGCAAUUGCAGCCUCAAGCACAUACCAUGGCUGAAGCACCACAAAGAUACUAAAACUGGAUUCAGGAAUCUCAAUUGCAACCUCCACACUCUAGAAUGAAUCUGAGAAUUGGGCUCUUGGUGCAACGCCAGUUCCAAAAUCCGGCCUUGAUAAG